rnacentral:lncRNA from 1 species
GCUAUUACUAAGACGAUAGCAAUAUCAAGUGUAAGUCAUUGUGUGCCAUAUGCAUUGGUUGUCCUUAUAACCAAAUGGUGUGGAGACACUAGUAUAGUAUACAGGUGAGAUGCAGGAGUACAUCAUCACUGAAUGUGACCAACUAUGGAGCACUCUGCUGUCAAGAGUAGCUUGCGAAGGAUAUGGGUAUAAAUGUCCCUCC